AAAGCUUCAUUUUUUUUGUAUUCUUAAUAUGAGCUGCUUGAGUUUUUAAUAUUUCAGUGGCAUUAUCAGUGAAGCCACAUGAAUGUUCCUCUCGCUAUCCAGUGUGAUUACAAUGUUGCAUUCGGACGUUGGGGACCUACAUGG